GACUGUAGUCGUUGCAGAUCAAUCCUUAGGUCGCUGGUUCGAAUCCGGCAGGUCGGA
rnacentral:sRNA from 1 species